UACGGGGGGGGGCAAGCGUUUGUUCGGAAUUACUGGGCGUAAAGGGCUCGUAGGCGGCCAACUAAGUCGGACGUGAAAUCCCUCGGCUUAACCGGGGAACUGCGUCCGAUACUGGAUGGCUUGAGUUUGGGAGAGGGAUGCGGAAUUCCAGGUGUAGCGGUGAAAUGCGUAGAUAUCUGGAGGAACACCGGUGGCGAAGGCGGCAUCCUGGACCAACACUGACGCUGAGGAGCGAAAGCCAGGGGAGCAAAGCGGG
rnacentral:rRNA from 1 species